rnacentral:rRNA from 1 species
ACGGGGUGCAGCAGGCGCGAAACCUCCACAAUGCACUCACGUGCGAUGGGGUUACCUCGAGUGCCACCUUUGAAGGGUGGCUUUUCCGUAGUGUAAAUAGCUAUGGGAAUAAGAGGGGGGCAAGACUGGUGUCAGCCGCCGCGGUAACACCAGCCCCUCGAGUGGUGGGGAUGAUUAUUUGGCCUAAAGCGUCCGUAGCCGGUCAUGAAAGUCCUUCGUUAAAUCCAACGUCUCAAGCGUUGGCUUGCGAAGGAUACUACAUAACUAGAGGGUGGGAGAGGUCAGCGGUAUUCUGGGGGUAGGGGCGAAAUCCUUUGAUCCCCGGAGGACCACCAGUGGCGAAGGCUGCUGACUAAAACACGCCUGACGGUCAGGGACGAAAGCUGGGGUAGCGAACCGGAUUAGAUACCCGGGUAGUCCCAGCCGUAAACGAUGCAUGCUAGGUGUUGGGUCGGCCAUGCGCUGCCCCAGUGCCGCAGGGAAGCCAUUAAGCAUGCCGCCUGGGAGUACGCCGACAAGGC